GUGCAGGUUAGGUUACAAAGCAGCUUUUGCAGUGCUGUUUUGACGUUCCCCCUGCAAACAGAAACCCGUUUCCUCCUAUCCCUGUGUGUCAGUCUCCUCUGGCAGACAGGGACGGUUGGUUUCGGACAC
rnacentral:snoRNA from 1 species